rnacentral:rRNA from 1 species
GACGAACGCUGGCGGCGUGCUUAACACAUGCAAGUCGAACGGAAAGGCCCUGCUUUUGUGGGGUGCUCGAGUGGCGAACGGGUGAGUAACACGUGAGUAACCUGCCCUUGACUUUGGGAUAACUUCAGGAAACUGGGGCUAAUACCGGAUAGGAGCUCCUGCUGCAUGGUGGGGGUUGGAAAGUUUCGGCGGUUGGGGAUGGACUCGCGGCUUAUCAGCUUGUUGGUGGGGUAGUGGCUUACCAAGGCUUCGACGGGUAGCCGGCGUGGGAGGGGGACCGGCCAACUGGGAAGGGAGACAGGGUCAAGAGUCCUACGGGAGGAAGCAGUAGGGAAUCGUCCGCAACGGGCGAAAGCCUGACGGAGCAACGCGGAGUGAGUGAUGAAGGUCGUCGGAGCGGAAAACUCGGUUAUGAGGGAAGAAAAAAUGUGUAAGUAACUAUGCACGUCUUGACGGGACCUAAUAAGAAAGCCACGGCUAACUACGUG